ACACCGUUGGUAGAAUGGUUAUCAUGCUUGCCCAUCAUCUGUAGCAAGUGGUUCAGGUUCGGGUUCGAUUCCCAAGCGGUGUA